rnacentral:rRNA from 1 species
AUUGAACGCUGGCGGAAUGCUUUACACAUGCAAGUCGAACGGCAGCACGGACUUCGGUCUGGUGGCGAGUGGCGAACGGGUGAGUAAUAUAUCGGAACGUGCCCAGUCGUGGGGGAUAACGUAGUGAAAAUUACGCUAAUACCGCAUACGAUCUAAGGAUGAAAGCGGGGGAUCGCAAGACCUCGCGCGAUUGGAGCGGCCGAUAUCAGAUUAGGUAGUUGGUGAGGUAAAGGCUCACCAAGCCAACGAUCUGUAGCUGGUCUGAGAGGACGACCAGCCACACUGGAACUGAGACACGGUCCAGACUCCUACGGGAGGCAGCAGUGGGGAAUUUUGGACAAUGGACGCAAGUCUGAUCCAGCCAUUCCGCGUGCAGGACGAAGGCCUUCGGGUUGUAAACUGCUUUUGUGCAGAACGAAAAGGUUUCUAUUAAUACUAGGGGCUCAUGACGGUACUGUAAGAA